rnacentral:rRNA from 1 species
AUCGAACGCUGGCGGCAGGCUUAACACAUGCAAGUCGAGCGGAGCGAGGGUGCUUGCACCUUAGCUUAGCGGCGGACGGGUGAGUAAUGCUUAGGAAUCUGCCUAUUAGUGGGGGACAACAUUCCGAAAGGAAUGCUAAUACCGCAUACGCCCUACGGGGGAAAGCAGGGGAUCUUCGGACAUUGCGCUAAUCGAUGAGCCUAAGUCGGAUUAGCUAGUUGGUGGGGUAAAGGCCUACCAAGGCGACGAUCUGUAGCGGGUCUGAGAGGAUGAUCCGCCACACUGGGACUGAGACACGGCCCAGACUCCUACGGGAGGCAGCAGUGGGGAAUAUUGGACAAUGGGCGGAAGCCUGAUCCAGCCAUGCCGCGUGUGUGAAGAAGGCCUUUUGGUUGUAAAGCACUUUAAGCGAGGAGGAGGCUACUUAGAUUAAUACUCUGGGAUAGUGGACGUUACUCGCAGAAUAAGCACCGGCUAACUCUGUGCCAGCAGCCGCCGUAA